GACGAACGCUGGCGGCGUGCUUAACACAUGCAAGUCGAACGGAAAGGCCCUGCUUGCAGGGUACUCGAGUGGCGAACGGGUGAGUAACACGUGGGUGAUCUGCCCUGCACUUCGGGAUAAGCUUGGGAAACUGGGUCUAAUACCGGAUAGGAGCCAUCUUUAGUGUGGUGGUUGGAAAGUUUUUUCGGUGUAGGAUGAGCUCGCGGCCUAUCAGCUUGUUGGUGGGGUAAUGGCCUACCAAGGCGGCGACGGGUAGCCGGCCUGAGAGAGUGUACGGCCACAUUGGGACUGAGAUACGGCCCAGACUCCUACGGGAGGCAGCAGGGGGGAAUAUUGCACAAUGGGCGCAAGCCUGAUGCAGCGACGCCGCGUGGGGGAUGAAGGCCUUCGGGUUGUAAACUCCUUUCGCUAGGGACGAAGCUUUUUUGUGACGGUACCUAGAUAAGAAGCACCGGCUAACUACGUG
rnacentral:rRNA from 1 species